rnacentral:rRNA from 1 species
GUAGGCGGUCAAGUUAGCGAGCGAUGAAAACUAUCGGCUCAACCGAUAGCUUGUUGUUCGAACUGCUUGACUCGAGAGUAUCAGAGGUCGCNUGGAAUUCCUAGUGUAGCAGUGAAAUGCGUAGAUAUUAGGAAGAACACCGAUGGCGUAGGCAGGCGACUGGGAUAUUUCUGACGCUAAGGCACGAAAGCGUGGGUAGCGAACCGGAUUAGAUACCCGGGUAGUCCACGCCGUAAACGAUGGAUGCUAAUUGUUUGAGGUAUCGACCCCUCGAGUAAUAAAGCUAACGCGUUAAGCAUCCCGCCUGUGGAGUACGGCCGCAAGGCUAAAACAUAAAGGAAUUGACGGGGACCCGCACAAGCGGUGGAGGAUGUUCUUUAAUUCGAAGUUAAGCGAAGAACCUUACCAGGGCUUGACAUCCCUAGAACUUUUUCGAAAGAAAAAGGUGCCUUCGGGAGCUAGGUGACAGAUCCUGCAUGGCCGUCGUCAGCUCGUGUCGUGAGAUGUUUGGUUAAGUCCAUCAACGAGCGCAACCCUUGUCGUCAGUUGUAUUUUUCUGGCGAGACUGCCCCGGUAACGGGGAGGAAGGAGGGGAUGAUGUCUGGUCAGUAUUGGUCUUACGCCCUGGGCUAGAAACGUCCUACAAUGGUCGGUACAAUGGGCAGCCAACCCGUGAGGGGGAGCAAAUCCCAUCAAAGCCGGUCUCAGUUCGG